CCUACGGGAGGCAGCAGUGGGGAAUAUUGGGCAAUGGGCGAAACCCUGACCCAGCAACGCCGCGUGAAGGAUGAAGGCUUUCGGGUUGUAAACUCCUUUUGAUAGGGAAGAGCAGAAGACGGUACCUGUCGAAUAAGCCACGGCUAACCACGUGACAGCAGCCGGGGUAAUACGUAGGGGGCAAGUGUUUCCCGGAAUUACUGGGUGUAAAGGGCGUGUAGGCGGGAUAACAAGUCAGAUGUGAAAUCCGAGGGCACAACCACCGAACUGCAUUUGAAACUGUUGGUCUUGAGUAUCGGAGAGGCAGGCGGAAUUCCUAGUGUAGCGGUGAAAUGCGUAGAUAUUAAGAGGAACACCAGUGGCGAAGGCGGCCUGCUAGAAGACAACUGACGGUGAGGCGCGAAAGCGUGGGGAGCAAACAGGAUUAGAUACCCGGGUAGUC
rnacentral:rRNA from 1 species